GGCCUCGGUGGUGCAGUGGUAGCACGCGCCAUUGGCAUGGGUGAAAAGCGGGUUCAACUCCCGUCUCAGCCC